rnacentral:tRNA from 1 species
GGGGGUAUAGUUCAGUGGUAGAGCAUUUGACUGCAGAUCAAGAGGUCCCUGGCUCAACUCCAGGUACUCCCU